rnacentral:rRNA from 1 species
GAUGAACGCUGGCGGCGUGCCUAAUACAUGCAAGUAGAACGCUGAAGGAGGAGCUUGCUCUUUCCGGAUGAGUUGCGAACGGGUGAGUAACGCGUAGGUAACCUGCCUGGUAGCGGGGGAUAACUAUUGGAAACGAUAGCUAAUACCGCAUAACAGUAGAUAUUGCAUGAUAUUUGCUUGAAAUGGGCAAUUGCUCCACUACCAGAUGGACCUGCGUUGUAUUAGCUAGUUGGUGAGGUAACGGCUCACCAAGGCGACGAUACAUAGCCGACCUGAGAGGGUGAUCGGCCACACUGGGACUGAGACACGGCCCAGACUCCUACGGGAGGCAGCAGUAGGGAAUCUUCGGCAAUGGACGGAAGUCUGACCGAGCAACGCCGAGUGAGUGAAGAAGGUUUUCGGAUCUUAAAGCUCUGUUGUAAGAGAAGAACGAGUGUGAGAGUGGAAAGUUCACACUGUGACGGUAUCUUACCAGAAAGGGACGGCUAACUACGUG